rnacentral:lncRNA from 1 species
UCAUCAUGUUACACUCUGUUAGCUGUCCUCAUAACAAUCUGAUUUCCUGCUCCUUGUAACACUAUGUCUGUUGGUUACAAAUGCUGUCUAUCGUGUAUCCAAUAUACAAAUGUACGAGAUGGAAGGAAGAGAAGAAACAUGAUGUGGAUGGUAGUCAAACUUGAGCAGCCACAGUAGCCAAGACUAAA